UGUGACGUUACCAAACUGUUGCCUCGGCGGGAUCUCUGCCCCGGGUGCGUCGCAGCCCCGGACCAAGGCGCCCGCCGGAGGACCAACCAAAACUCUUUUUGUAUACCCCCUCGCGGGUUUUUUAUAAUCUGAGCCUUCUCGGCGCCUCUCGUAGGCGUUUCGAAAAUGAAUCAAAACUUUCAACAACGGAUCUCUUGGUUCUGGCAUCGAUGAAGAACGCAGCGAAAUGCGAUAAGUAAUGUGAAUUGCAGAAUUCAGUGAAUCAUCGAAUCUUUGAACGCACAUUGCGCCCGCCAGUAUUCUGGCGGGCAUGCCUGUCCGAGCGUCAUUUCAACCCUCGAACCCCUCCGGGGGGUCGGCGUUGGGGAUCGGCCCUGCCUUUGGCGGUGGCCGUCUCCGAAAUACAGUGGCGGUCUCGCCGCAGCCUCUCCUGCGCAGUAGUUUGCACACUCGCAUCGGGAGCGCGGCGCGUCCACAGCCGUUAAACACCCAACUUCUGAAAUGUUGACCUCGGAUCAGGUAGGAAUACCCGCUGAACUUAAGCAUAUCA
rnacentral:rRNA from 1 species